rnacentral:ncRNA from 2 species
UUAGCAAACGAUCGCGCCGGUGCUCCGAAAGGAGCUUAAUCGGGAAUGCGGUGCGGGGAGCUUCCCCAAAUCCGCGGCUGUCCCUGCAACUGUGAGCGGAUAGCGCGAUGCACUGGCCCCCUACGAGGGGGCGGCCACUGGGCCCGCGGGCCUGGGAAGGCGUGCAGCGUGCCGUGACCCGCAAGCCAGGAGACCUGCCGGCGUCCGGUCGCUCUU